rnacentral:rRNA from 1 species
AGUACCGUCAUUUUUUCUUCCUAACUAAAAGAGCUUUACAACCCGAAGGCCUUCAUCACUCACGCGGCGUUGCUGCGUCAGGGUUUCCCCCAUUGCGCAAUAUUCCUAG